GAUACAGUAAUAUGGACCAUGACCUUCGUCCCAGACAGAGGGAGUUCUUCAUUGGCUUCACAAAGGGCCAGUUGCAGCUCUGCUGAUCUCCAAAAGCCAGCUGAACUGGAUGGGAAGGCAUGUGCAGCUGUUGGACAGCCUGAUCUGAUGGCUCUCUUGAAGUCCGUGUUUAGUGAGGAUGUGACACAAGCUUAGUGUCUUGUCACAGAAAGUGACUUUAGGGGUAAAGAUUUUCAAAGGCAGCUGAAAGAAACGGUCGAUCACUUGCUGUCUUUAAAGACUAUACCUAU